GCAGCAGAACACUCCUCUGCGCUUGAGCUUCAGAAAUGCUUGGGGAAAUGUAGCUUGUGUGGACGACACCGCACUCCUUGAUCAAUAAAAGAGCUUCCCUACUGAAAAGCUAUUUGAUUCAGAAAACAGCGACGCUACCACCACGCUACUGAGAAAUGUAGUUAAACUAGUAACGCCGCUACUUGUAGCGACGAUACUGCCCAACGCUGAAAACAAAAGUUAAUUUGCCCGCGGCCUCGGGCUGAACUGAAUGGGACCCCCCACGCAAUGCAAAUGUGUUGUUACGAAAACAGCGUUAUUUUAGGCUACGUCAGGCCGACAUGCAAUAUAUAAGUAGCCUAUUCGAGACGGCCAUGGACAUUAAUUUUUGUGUGAGCAGGUGAGCAAAAUAAACUACUGAGCAUACUCCAUUGAGAAAGAACGAGAAAGCACAAAAUGAACAUCGCGACUGUUCUGUUCGUGUUCCUGACCACGGUGGCUCCUGUCCGCACUCUGAUACGCUGUUCUGAGUGUGAUGAGAAGUGUACCAAGAGGCACAUCGAACACUCAGGCAGGGUUCUCAUCAGCAGCAACGUUAGUCAUUUCAUCACGGAGGAUACAAGCGAGCGCAUGCUGUCCCCAUGGACAUACGUAAAAGAUUUUAAUGCCAGCAGAUUACCGCAGUCUAUCUGGUCUGCCAGGUGCGAACAUCGUUAUUGCCGGGACAGCACGCUGUCGGGUUUCAACUACCGGCUGCGAGUGUGGAACGUUGUGUACAGCAUGAGAGUCUAUUACAAAGAGGCCUGCCAGGACGGCGGUCACUACAGGCUGGUUCCAGGGACGCUGAACGUGAACGUGGGAUGCACGUGCAUCAAACCCAGGUUAAAAGCACAGUGACGUGCACUCCUGCGCGGCACUGUAGCUGGCCUAAAUGUGUCGCAUACAUAUUAUAUGUGUGCUACGAUUAAUAUUAUAUAUUUCAUUUACAAGUAUGAUAUUUUAAAAUAUCUAAAAACGAGAUAAGACAUUAACUGACCAUCAGUACAUACACUGUGUGUAUGCCCCAACAAUCUUCCUUCUCAGUUUUACUUGAGGUUUAGUGACCUUUAAAAUUUAAUCUAGAAACACAGAACACAGGAUGGCGAUGGCUUGCCACCCUGGUCUUAAGACAUUUUGUCAGCAAGAGAAACUGACAGAACCUCAUGUUGCUCUGACAAAUUAGACAAAUG